rnacentral:rRNA from 1 species
GUUUUUCGCUUGAGGAUGAGCCCAUGUGGGAUUAGCUAGUUGGUGAGGUAAUGACUCACCAAGGCGACGAUCCCUAACUGGUCUUAGAGGAUGAUCAGCCACACUGGAACUGAGACACGGUCCAGACUCCUACGGGAGGCAGCAGUAGGGAAUAUUGCACAAUGGGGGAAACCCUGAUGCAGCGACGCCGCGUGAGUGAUGAAGGCCUUCGGGUCGUAAAGCUCUGUCGUAUGGGAAUAACAAAAUG